AUCUGAAGCUUCUGUUAGUAGAAACCGCAGCACAAUUAUCGUUCCUGCUGGAAGCAACCGAGAUGAGGGAUGGUCUGCAUUUAGAAACAUUUUGGCAGAGAUCAAUGAAGCAUCCAGGCUUUUCAUACUGCCCAAUCAGGAAAACUCCGAACAUUCAGAACGUCUUGUCGGACUUUCAGAUGAUGUAGGAGCAGGCUUCAUAUCAGGUCAUAGUAGUCAACCUGGGCCAACCUCUGACUUGAAUGUAGAUAGACAAGUAGACUUGUCAGCUCAAGAUGAAUUGGGGAAUCUGGGUGUUUCGAAAGUUAUCCG
rnacentral:misc_RNA from 1 species